UACGUAGGGUGCGAGCGUUGUCCGGAAUUAUUGGGCGUAAAGAGCUCGUAGGCGGUUUGUCACGUCUGCUGUGAAAUCCCGAGGCUCAACCUCGGGCCUGCAGUGGGUACGGGCAGACUGGAGUGCGGUAGGGGAGGUUGGAAUUCCUGGUGUAGCGGUGGAAUGCGCAGAUAUCAGGAGGAACACCGAUGGCGAAGGCAGAUCUCUGGGCCGUAACUGACGCUGAGGAGCGAAAGCGUGGGGAGCGAACAGG
rnacentral:rRNA from 1 species